AACGCACCUUGCGCUCCUUGGUAUUCCGAGGAGCAUGCCUGUUUGAGUGUCGCCAAAUUAUCAACUCCUUUUCAUUUUGUUGAGAUGUGAGCUUGAAGUUGGGGACUGUCGGUUUUAAAAUCGACUUCCCUUGAAUGCAUUAGCUGGAAGUAAAUUUGCAGCAUAUAUGCGGUGUGAUAAUGUCGUCACUGUAUAGCUACAGAUUGUUCAGGCUUCUAACCGUCUUUCAUUAGACAAUUUGAUCAUUCUGGCCUCAAAUCAGGUAGGACUACCCGCUGAACUUAA
rnacentral:misc_RNA from 1 species